rnacentral:rRNA from 1 species
UACGGAGGGUGCAAGCGUUAAUCGGAAUUACUGGGCGUAAAGCGUGCGUAGGCGGUUUGUUAAGUCUGUUGUGAAAUCCCCGGGCUCAACCUGGGAAUGGCAAUGGAUACUGGCAGGCUAGAGUGUGUCAGAGGAUGGUGGAAUUCCCGGUGUAGCGGUGAAAUGCGUAGAGAUCGGGAGGAACAUCAGUGGCGAAGGCGGCCAUCUGGGACAACACUGACACUGAGGGACGAAAGCUAGGGGAGCGAAAGGG